rnacentral:lncRNA from 1 species
AGAACUUGGAUGUUUCUUGUGUAAUAAAUCAAAUAAUGUUGAACAAGUUGUGGAGUUGCUUCAUGUUAUGUUUUUUUUUUUUCCAGGCUUUGGAAUAAUCACUGUGAUGGGACAGGAAGCAGAAACAAAUGUAAAGCUGGAGGCAGGGACCUUGAAGGAGAUCAUGAAGACUUUGAGCAGACACGUUUCAGACAUGGGAGAGGAUGGCCGAAGAAUUUUUCAUUCAUAA